GAUGAAGAACGUGGCGAAAUGCGAUACUUGGUGUGAAUUGCAGAAUCCCGUGAACCAUCGAGUCUUUGAACGCAAGUUGCGCCCGAAGCCAUCAGGUUGAGGGCACGUCUGCCUGGGCGUCACAUAUCGUUGCCCAAUGCCUAUUGCAGUGCAAUAGGAAUUUCUAGGGCGAAUGAUGGCUUCCCGUGAGCGUUGUUGCCUCGCGGUUGGUUGAAAAUCGAGUCCUUGGUAGGGUGUGCCAUGGUAGAUGGUGGUCGAGUUAGAACGAUACCGAUCAUGUGCAUGCUCCCCAAAAUAUGGCCUCUAUGACCCACACGCGUCUUUUGACGCUCAUGACGAGACCUCAGGUCAGGCGGGGCUACCCGCUGAAUUUAAGCAUAUCAAUAAGCGGAGGA
rnacentral:misc_RNA from 1 species